rnacentral:rRNA from 1 species
UCUGCCCACUGAAUUAUUUUAAAGGGCUGCAGUAUAUUGACUGUACAAAGGUAGCAUAAUCAUUAGUCUUUUAAUUGAAGACUUGUAUGAAUGAUUUGAUGAAAUAUAAACUGUCUCUUUAUUAAUAAUAGAAAUUAAUUUUUUAGUUAAAAAGCUAAAAUUUAUUUAAAAGACGAGAAGACCCUAUAGAGUUUUAUAUUUAAAUUUAUAUUAAUUCUUUAUAAAAUUUAUAUUUAAUAUUUUUUUAAUUAUUUUAUUGGGGUGAUAGAAAAAUUUAUUAAACUUUUUUUAAAAUUUUUACAUUAAUAUAUGAAAUUUUGAUCCAUAAUUUAUGAUUAAAAGAUUAAAUUACCUUAGGGAUAACAGCGUAAUUUUUUUUUUUAGUUCUUAUAAGAAAAAAAGUUUGCGACCUCGAUGUUGGAU